UACGUAGGGUGCAAGCGUUGUCCGGAAUCAUUGGGCGUAAAGCGCGCGUAGGUGGCUUCGUAAGUCCGUUGUGAAAGUCAAAGGCUCAACCUUUGAAUGCCGAUGGAUACUGCGAAGCUAGAGUACGGAAGAGGCGAGUGGAAUUCCUGGUGUAGCGGUGGAAUGCGCAGAUAUCGAGGAGGAACACCAUAGCGAAGGCAGCUCGCUGGGACGUUACUGACACUAAGGCGCGAAAGCGUGGGGAGCGAACGAGG
rnacentral:rRNA from 1 species